GUUAUUCCCUCUCUGCAACGAAGGAUCAGGAAGUUUGUACUCUCUGUGUGGCUGAGAAGUUUUUCACCUACUGGAACCCGCCUAGGGUACGGGAAACAGGUGCCCUCCAAAACGAGAGCGCGAACUGCAGCCUACGUCCCACUGCAGCUCAGGAGCAACGUCAGGUGAGCAAAUAUAACACUUCUUAACAUCCAACAGAGCUGGUCAGUAUUUUACUUUAGAGAGAAAGGGUGGUUUUUACUUAUUUGUUGUUGCUCAUCAUGUUUUCAAGUAGGGUAUUUUAACUAAUAAGUGGCCACAGGGAAAUGAUGAAUUCCUCAAAGAAAAUUGCCCCCAUUCUCCCCGGGGUGUUAAAGUUUCUUGGAUUGGGUUUGGAAAUAAUGCCAAAUGGAAUUGGCACCCUAAGGCAUUGUUCUGUGUUCUGUUCCUUCACUCUUCUUACUUCCCCUGAAAAUUAUAUUUGAAAUAUACGCUUGUAUGAAGAAUUGUUUGUAAGACUCUUGGUGUGUAUUUCUGGUGCUGUUUAAUGAGUAUAUAUUUAUUUGAGCAGUUAAAACGUUAAAGAUAUUGUGCUAGUUGCUAUGGAGAAUAUAAAAAUUAAAAGAUGACAAUAUUUCAGCCCUGGAGAAGUUUAAUGUAACAGACAGCCAUAACAAAAGAGGGACUAUAAUAAACAUUUUAAAGGGCUUAAGUAUAAAUUUCUGUUUACAUACAACUGAAGAAAAAUCCAUUUCUAAGUGUUUAAUAUAUGCAUAGUGGAGAGAUAGAAUUCACCUUAAGGCCUCACUUGUCUUUAGUAGGCCUUCAAAGACUGGACAGACAGUAUUUAGGGAGGAAAGGAAAAGGAAGAAAACUCCAAGAUCACAAGGAUCAGAGGCAGAAAGAAAGCAAGAUAAAAUUGUUGAACUAGGCACAACCAUAGCACAUUUUAAAUAUUAUUCUUUUGACCUCAAAGAUAUAUAAUUGCUGAUAGUUUUUGACUUGCUUUUAAUCAUAAAAAUUGACAUUUAUACCAGGCAGUGGUGACACACCUCUAAUUCCAGCACUUGGGGAGCAGAGGCAGGUGGAUCUCUAAGUUCAAGGCCAGCCUGGUCUACAUAAUGAAUUCCAAGAUAGCUAGGACAUUUACACAGAGCAACCCUGUUUUGUUUCGUUCUAAACAAACGAAAAAUAAAAUACAUUUACAUUUGUAUGAACUGUGCUAACUUUAAGCUUUAUCACAGAUGACUUAGACAAGUGUAAUGCUUAGUAUAAAAGGGUGUGUGCUCAGAUUUUUUUUCCCCCAUUUAUGGGAAUGGUACUUAGGACCUUAUAUAUGCUAAAUAACACUAUGCUGUAACUGUAACACUGAGCCAUAUUCUAGCCCCUUUUUCUUUUUCUUUUUUGAAUGAAUUCUUUCUUUAAAAAGACUUAUUUUAGUUCUUGCCCUCUUGGUCUCUUGCUCCUCCCUUGCUCUUUCCCUGCUUCCCUUCCCCUUUCUCUCCCCAUUCCCGUCCCACCUCUCUCUCCACGUGCUCAUGACUCCUCUACUUCUCUACUCUCUUUCUCUGCCUCUACUACCCUCGUAACUCCCCUCCCCAUGCCCUUAAUAAACCCUAUUCUAU
rnacentral:lncRNA from 1 species